UACAAUGUUGGUCAUAAUACAUUUUACU
rnacentral:sRNA from 1 species